rnacentral:rRNA from 1 species
CUUUUCUUGUAUAUUAAAUAUGAAAUAUAGCCUGCCCAAUGAAUUUAUUUAAAUGGCCGCGGUAUUUUGACCGUGCAAAGGUAGCAUAAUCAUUAGUCUUUUAAUUGAAGGCUGGAAUGAAUGGUUGGACGAAGUAAAUUCUUUCUUUUUAUUAAUUUAUUUGAAUUUAAUUUUUAAGUUAAAAAGCUUAAAUUAUUUUUUGGGACGAGAAGACCCUAUAGAGUUUAUAUAAAUUAUUAAUUAUACUUAGUUUGUAAAUAAUUUUAGUUAAGUAAUUUAUUUUGUUGGGGUGAUGGAAAUAUAAAAUGAACUUUUUCUAUUUAUGUAUAUAAAUUUAUAUGUUUUUGAUCCAUUAUUAAUGAUUAGUAGACUAAAUUACC